GGGGGCGAACAGGUUUCGACGGAGAUAGUGAGGCAGAGGCAGCAUGUCGAGAUUCCACCCACCUCGUAAAAAGGUGGAAAAAACUAAGUGCAGAAACUCUGCCAGCUGCUGCCUAUAAUUAGGCAUGCCGUUUCUCAAGUUAUUUCCUGCGGUACUUGAGAAGCGUCGAUGAGCAGGAUAGCGAGCCAGGCUUGUCCUGAGCCUUGUGAGCGAAACAUAAUCGGGACUAGUUCAGUUGUGUUUUUCCUCUUUGGACACUUCAGAACGAGAUAACAGAAGAGGAUAAACAUGUAGAAGUUAUCUGCUGAAUGUCUUCGGACGCGGGUUCGAUUCCCGCCGCCUCCAAAA
rnacentral:tmRNA from 1 species